CAAACCAUUACUUGGAAUUUCCAACACAUUUAGAUGUAAAUCAAUGUUGGGUCAACACUAAUCCUAGCAGAAAACUAAACAGAAAAUUGAAUGAGUUUUUACAACAGCUUAAAAUCAUCCAUUCCUACAAGCACAUAACUCGAACUCAUCUACACUAGUUGACUAAAGCUCAUAGUUCAUCCAAAGUUACAAACCAAGUUAAGGAUGAAACAGAAUGUAACUAGUAAAACCAAGCCAAUAUUAAAAUCUGAUUGAUUUUUAGAAAUAUAAGACACUAUAUUUACAAGCUAAUUUGGCAGCUUGCAGUUCAAUUGAAAAAACUCUUGUUCUUCCAUUUCACAUGUCAAAGGAAUGGGAGAUACCUGGAAAUUGAAAGAAAACAGUAGAAGUGAGAAAUUAGUGGCCAAAUAGCAGUAGAACAACAGUAAAACUAGACACAGCAACAAGAAAUAAUAUCAAAACCCAUCUCAAAUCAAUAGUGAUACAUAGCAAACCCAAACCCCAAUUUCAAAACAGAUUCAAACCAUUUCUUAACCCCAAAAAUAUGAUUAUGGAGUUCUUCAAAGGUUUUAGCUAACAGAAGACUCAAAAUCCAAACUCAAAAUAGAAUUUUUAUUAGUUUUCAACAAUGGAACUCAGAAUUUUCAAAGAAACUCAACCAUUAAAGCUUUUCAGGAUUUUUUUUUCUAGCCAUUACAACUUUUCAGGAAUUUUUUUUCUCUUUC
rnacentral:lncRNA from 1 species